GACUAGAUUGUUUUCCUUCUCCAGUCCCUCCCGCCUCCCGCCUCCCGCAGCCCGCAGCCCGCAGCAAUGGCUUCAGAGAAGAAACUAUCGAACCCAAUGAGAGAGAUCAAGGUCCAGAAGUUGGUCCUCAACAUCUCUGUCGGGGAGA